GGAGCUGAGAUUGUCCUCUGCUGUAGUUCUGCAGGCCAACCAAGGGACACAGAUGACGGCCUCCUCAGGACAAGGCAACAACUGGUGCACACUCUGCCUCUGUUGAUACAAAAUGAAGGUGUGACUCAGGGGAGCAAGAGAGGGAGGUCGCUGCAGGAGACCAAGGAGAAAUUAGCAGCCUCCUUUAUUGUGCAGAAGGCACCCCGUUUUGACCGAUCCGAAGCGAAGAUCCCCAUGAAAGACAAAGAUUCGGGAAGAAGCCUAGGCCGCCGGCCCAAGAUCGUCUCAGCAGGCUCACUGAUCCUGAGACACCUGAGGGCAGAGCAGCUGGGGAAUGCUGGUAACCAUCAAGACAAGAAAGGAGGGGGCCUCCUUGAGCACAGCCAGAUGUCCCCAGAAUCUGCUGCAGGGAAUUGCAAGCUGCAGGCGUCUCCAGCAAUGUUUGCUAAGAGAAAAUCUUGUGUGAAAUUUAUGGAAUAUAAGAGCAAUGUGGCAAGGCUGCGCAUGGAGGGCUGCGAUCCCUUUGCUUCCUGCCUACCGAAAGCCGAGUUCAGGUACAGACCGUAUUACGAUCACCUGGCAAGCUGGAAGGAGGCCACCCCGGCUGAGAGGGAUGCUUCAGACUUCAGCAGGGAGGCCUGGCCCGCAGAAGACUCUCAGGAAGCACCCAAGACUUUUGCUCCACUGCAGCCCCCGGGGCCACCUCCCCCCUCCCCCUCCCCCUUGGAGAACAGCCCUAAUUCUCCCCCUGGCUUCCCUUGAAUCCAAAAGGGGCAGGGAGGCCAGAGGGGACUGGGUGGAUAAUCAGCAGCCAACUCCAGGGAGGGUUGCUUCUAUUUUAAAAGGGGUGGGGGCCCACUCUCGAACUUGCAACCAUUAAAAUUCCUGCUUUCCCCA
rnacentral:lncRNA from 1 species